rnacentral:rRNA from 1 species
UGGCGACAUAGAGCGGAACCCGAAAACCUAGUCUCAGUUCGGAUUGGAGUCUGNAACCCGACUCCAUGAAGCUGGAUUCGCUAGUAAUCGCGCAUCAGCCACGGCGCGGUGAAUACGCUCCCGGGCCUUGUACACACCGCCCGUCAAGCCAUGGAAGCCGGGGUGCUUGAAGUACGCUUACCGCAAGGGGCGUCCUAAGGCAAAACCGAUAAUUGGGCUAAGUCGUAACAAGGUACC